GCCCCGGUGGCGAAAUCGGUAGACGCAACGGACUUAAAAUCCGUUGACCGCAAGGUCGUGCCGGUUCGAGUCCGGCCCGGGGCACCA
rnacentral:tRNA from 1 species